AAAUUGAAGAGUUUGAUCAUGGCUCAGAUUGAACGCUGGCGGCAGGCCUAACACAUGCAAGUCGAACGGUAACAGGAAGCAGCUUGCUGCUUUGCUGACGAGUGGCGGACGGGUGAGUAAUGUCUGGGAAACUGCCUGAUGGAGGGGGAUAACUACUGGAAACGGUGGCUAAUACCGCAUAACGUCGCAAGACCAAAGAGGGGGACCUUCGGGCCUCUUGCCAUCAGAUGUGCCCAGAUGGGAUUAGCUUGUUGGUGAGGUAACGGCUCACCAAGGCGACGAUCCCUAGCUGGUCUGAGAGGAUGACCAGCCACACUGGAACUGAGACACGGUCCAGACUCCUACGGGAGGCAGCAGUGGGGAAUAUUGCACAAUGGGCGCAAGCCUGAUGCAGCCAUGCCGCGUGUAUGAAGAAGGCCUUCGGGUUGUAAAGUACUUUCAGCGGGGAGGAAGGUGUUGUGGUUAAUAACCGCAGCAAUUGACGUUACCCGCAGAAGAAGCACCGGCUAACUCCGUGCCAGCAGCCGCGGUAAUACGGAGGGUGCAAGCGUUAAUCGGAAUUACUGGGCGUAAAGCGCACGCAGGCGGUCUGUCAAGUCGGAUGUGAAAUCCCCGGGCUCAACCUGGGAACUGCAUUCGAAACUGGCAGGCUUGAGUCUUGUAGAGGGGGGUAGAAUUCCAGGUGUAGCGGUGAAAUGCGUAGAGAUCUGGAGGAAUACCGGUGGCGAAGGCGGCCCCCUGGACAAAGACUGACGCUCAGGUGCGAAAGCGUGGGGAGCAAACAGGAUUAGAUACCCUGGUAGUCCACGCUGUAAACGAUGUCUACUUGGAGGUUGUGCCCUUGAGGCGUGGCUUCCGGAGCUAACGCGUUAAGUAGACCGCCUGGGGAGUACGGCCGCAAGGUUAAAACUCAAAUGAAUUGACGGGGGCCCGCACAAGCGGUGGAGCAUGUGGUUUAAUUCGAUGCAACGCGAAGAACCUUACCUGGUCUUGACAUCCACGGAAGUUUUCAGAGAUGAGAAUGGUGCCUUCGGGAACCGUGAGACAGGUGCUGCAUGGCUGUCGUCAGCUCGUGUUGUGAAAUGUUGGGUUAAGUCCCGCAACGAGCGCAACCCUUAUCCUUUGUUGCCAGCGGUCCGGCCGGGAACUCAAAGGAGACUGCCAGUGAUAAACUGGAGGAAGGUGGGGAUGACGUCAAGUCAUCAUGGCCCUUACGACCAGGGCUACACACGUGCUACAAUGGCGCAUACAAAGAGAAGCGACCUCGCGAGAGCAAGCGGACCUCAUAAAGUGCGUCGUAGUCCGGAUUGGAGUCUGCAACUCGACUCCAUGAAGUCGGAAUCGCUAGUAAUCGUGGAUCAGAAUGCCACGGUGAAUACGUUCCCGGGCCUUGUACACACCGCCCGUCACACCAUGGGAGUGGGUUGCAAAAGAAGUAGGUAGCUUAACCUUCGGGAGGGCGCUUACCACUUUGUGAUUCAUGACUGGGGUGAAGUCGUAACAAGGUAACCGUAGGGGAACCUGCGGUUGGAUCACCUCCUUACCUU
rnacentral:rRNA from 1 species